GACAGCAGUAGCCGCGGGAAUACGUAGGUGGCAAGCGUUGUCCGGAAUUAUUGGGCGUAAAGGGCUCGCAGGCGGUUUCUUAAGUCUGAUGUGAAAGCCCCCGGCUCAACCGGGGAGGGUCAUUGGAAACUGGGAAACUUGAGUGCAGAAGAGGAGAGUGGAAUUCCACGUGUAGCGGUGAAAUGCGUAGAGAUGUGGAGGAACACCAGUGGCGAAGGCGACUCUCUGGUCUGUAACUGACGCUGAGGAGCGAAAGCGUGGGGAGCGAACAGGAUUAGAGACCCCUGUAGUCCCUGUCUCUUAUAC
rnacentral:rRNA from 1 species